GCAGAGAACUGGGCCUGCAAUUAGAGGUUGGUGCUGAGUGCUGGGCUCUGUGGAGAGCGGAUGGCACAGCACAGGGCACAGCCAUAUCCUGAGCAGAUGCCAACCCCGCACACAAGAUGGGCAGGUACGGUGAGCAACUGAGGCUCGGAGUCUGGGUCGGGACUAGCAACACUGGGUCCAGGAAUGGCUGCAAUAAUGGGACAAAGUCGAUGCUCAUAAAGUCACAACAACGAUGGCAGUGUGUAACAGUGGCACAAGCCCGCAGGGAGCCGGCAGUCACGCUCCCUGCUCCUAGUGGGUUUGACUGGGAAGCACUCACUUUGUGGACUUGUUUGUCUUCGUCACUUUCUGUGUUGUUCCUUCUGUUUGCCCUCCACCGAGGGUCAAUUUCAAGGUCAUCUUCACAACAGCAUUGCUCACCGGUCCUCUGGAGCAGCUCCUCAGGAGCAGGAAGUGAUGUCCCAGUCCUGCCUCCCUGCCCCUGGCAGGCACCAGCAUGCCUGACAUCUGUGUUCUGAAAUGGACCACUGCAAUUCUGAUUGCUUCUCACCAGGAGCUUAUGUGACCACUUUAGAAGAUGGGGUCCCCACGGCUGCACCCACCAUGCCUGUUUGCAGCACGGCACCCACCAAACUCUUGUUCUCCAGUGUGGGGCCUGCUCUUCACGCCCUCCAAUUCCAACCAUCUCACAUUUCCAAUUACAGUACCACAGCAGCAUAAGACAGCUUUCAGGGAUCGGCCGCCACAUUCAGUCUGUUUCUAUCAGUGUGUGUCUGCAGCACACGGUGACCACACGCGCUGUGAGGAGCUGGGCACCAACUACUUAAGAAACAAAAUAUACCAGAGCAGAGCAGCAACAAACCCAAGCCCAUUGCAUGCUGCAGAUGUGUGUGUGUGAGUUUGUGAACCCUCUCUCUGCAUUUGAAUUUGUGGAGUGAUGCAACCAGCCCUGGCAUAAAAUGCACUCUUUACUGUGGUGGUGGUAAAAGCAAACACAAUUCUUCCUUUAGAGUGUAUCACAAGAAAUUGUUCUGUAAUUCUCAGAGAGAACAAUCAUGUAGCAGUGAUCCGACCUGGUGACACUAAGAGAAACCCUGAUCCUUAAAAUUUAGCUUUAAAUUAAUAGAGAGCUAGUUCAACAUUAACACACACUCAGGAUUACUCCCUGUUGACCAAGCCCUAAGUAAUCACUAUGAAACCCCCACACCCCUUGGAGCUGGCACUGUGAUUAUCAGCAUUUUGCAGGUGAGGAAAUUUAAGCACAGAAAGGUAAAGUCAUCCCCUGGAGGCUGCAGAGUAGGGAAUUGUAGAGCUAGAAUUCAAACACAAGCUCGAAGUCUACUUUUUAAAAAACUGUUUUCCUGGCCCCCUUGGCAAUGUUUGUUACUUUAUCACAUGGAUAAAAACGAUGCAUGGAUGUUCACUUUAUUGGCCUUAUUAGAAUGAGUACAGUUUGUUCCUAAAGUGAUGGGCAUUAGGUUGCAAGGAAGGACUCAUCAUGAGCUCCAGAGAACUGGCCAUGUCCAUGGGGACCUGGACCACACAUUUCCUUGGUGGGGAAGCUCUGGGAGCAAUUGGUGAUGUCUGUCACUACUGCACAGAGAGAAGGGACACCUGUGCCCCUGAGCUUACAUCAUUUCUUUGCUCCCUGAAGCAAUAUUCACUGAGACCCACAGGAACUAAAUCUACAGAGAUGAACAGAAAUGACAAGGACGCCUGUGAAAGGCAGAUGACAAAAAUGUACAACAGAGUGGACCAUUAAAUGCACACUGGAGUUUCAGGUUCCUUGGUGUACUUGAUGGGAAAACAUACGUGAGAAAGACAGAGACGCACAGAGCUCAGCAGCUUAUGUACACAGCCUGGAGAAAGACAUCCCCCGUGAGAACCAUGUCACUAGUUUGGAGCAAAAUGAGACAGAGUCCCACAGGAGCACUGCAGGAAAAGCAGUCCAGGGAGGAGCUACAGCAGGGGCACAGGGUGUCCCUUGGGCCAUUCAAGGGAGGCCCCAGGCCAGCUGAACAUCCUGCCUUCUACUUGUGCUUCUAAGGACUGCAGCGCUCAGAGGCCUGGCGAUGGGAGAAGAGCUCCCAGCUGGAGGAGGCAGCGGGUCCUUCGCGUUCCACUUUGUACGCUUCAGUGUUUUAAACCUGCUCAUGAGAGGCACAUCCUUCAUAAGGGAGGAAAACAUGACAGCGCUUUGAGAUUGCACAAAUGCUGCCUCCCUCCAUGGCACACUCGAGGUAGGAAUGUCACAUUCCUGUGGAAUAUUUGCAGAGCUCCUGCUUGGCAAACAUUUGCUGGUUUCCCUGAGGCCACCAGACACAAUCUGAGAGGAGACCGGUUUGAAAGUGAAACAAAGCUACACUUCCACACUGUGGGAAGCCUCAGCCCACUGGAUCCUACAUUCCCAUGACCGAGCUCCAUGUUUCUGAAGCAGAGGUGAUUUCUACCUGAGGAAUGUGGCUUGUGAAGAUCACUUUAGAUAACUCAGACACUGUGGCAUCCAGCCCGCUGAGGCCAGGGAUUCAGCUAACGAUCCUGUAAUGUGCAAGAGGGCAUCAACUGCAGAGGGCUGUCCGGGUUCUAAUGCCAAUCAAUUCAGGACAAUGAAGCCUUCAUUUAGCGAAAUCAAUCACCAGUAGAUAGGCCCUGGAAUCUUGGUCCCUGCUGUGAUUUUCCAGUGAGGUUUCCAUGGAGACCAGGUGAUACAGGCAUGCAAACCCAGUGGAUGUGCAGAGGUCUCAAGGCCAGAGAGAAGGGGAAAGGACACACAGUCAAUUUGACUGCGGUAGCAAUGGGAACAAGCAGUUUCCCCAGUGGAGCUGCCUCAUCCAUCACCUCUGGAGUCGUUUCUGCAGGGGGGAAGCUCCCCACCCCUCAGCAGGGCACUCAGGCUCAUCACCUACCUGGUGAUGAUGCUCAGACUCACAGUGACAGGGCCCAAUUUGCUUUCUGUCCUGCUUCUCCUGGUGCAGAGAGGGCACCAUAAUGAGCAUGCUUUCCAGAGAUCACAACCUCACUGAUAGACCUUUCAAAAGGUGCUAGGCACAGGCAGGUUGGAAAUGCACCUCGGAAAUUCAGAAAGAUGUGGAGAGCUUGGUCUUCUGGUAAUAGACCCACUGCUGUUCCUUCCUGUGGCCAAUCUGACAUCGAAGCAGUCACCUUAGGUAUUUGGAGCCAUUGUGAUUGGAUUUUGCUUUUGACAAGGCCCAUUGCUCCCGGGAGUGAUGAAGGCUGACAUCUUGCUGACAGGAUAGCCGGCUCUGACCCUUGCAGGGCAAAGAGCUCAGUCUUCCCCAAAGGCCUCUUUUUCAGCUUUCCCAGUGGUGGGGAGGGGUAAGAUCAGCUGAAGUCACCUGAUGACCUGGGUGAUGUCAUCUCUAAGUUAACAUCCUCCCGUAACAGUACAAAUGCAGAUGAUUCAUUCUGCAACCCAAAAAUAUUCACAUGAAAAAGAUUGCAAUACUGUAAUACAGUGGAGAAUAAUAAAAAAAAUACAAAACAUAAAGAAAAGCAAGUUAGCUUGCACUUGCCCUGAAAACCUCCGAGGCUGGUGUGAGGGACAUGGGAGGGGAAGGUCACUGACCCUGGUGGAGUCGCUGCUGUCUCUCAGCCUGAUGGAUGGAAUCGGUUUCUUCUCCUGCAACUUAUCAGGGACCUAACCUGGCCACACCUGCUUCCGCCUCCUUCUGAGAAUGUUGCACAGAAGUGAAUGCAAUCUUGUGUGGUCACUAAGCAGAUUCAUCAUUUGCACUGCUGCAGCUUGUUCCGGUGGUGGAUACCAUCCAUACAGCUCUACAGGGUUUCCCACAUUGACAGACCUCCCUCAUCUCACUGGGAGUGAGGGAUCCCUCCUGCUCCUUCUCCUCUUUCUCCUCUGCAGAUGAGGUCCCCUUAACAUAUUGGUGUUGGGAGAUGAUCACC